rnacentral:rRNA from 1 species
AUAAUGGGUCAGCGACUUAUAUUCUGUAGCAAGGUUAACCGAAUAGGGGAGCCGAAGGGAAACCGAGUCUUAACUGGGCGUUAAGUUGCAGGGUAUAGACCCGAAACCCGGUGAUCUAGCCAUGGGCAGGUUGAAGGUUGGGUAACACUAACUGGAGGACCGAACCGACUAAUGUUGAAAAAUUAGCGGAUGACUUGUGGCUGGGGGUGAAAGGCCAAUCAAACCGGGAGAUAGCUGGUUCUCCCCGAAAGCUAUUUAGGUAGCGCCUCGUGAAUUCAUCUCCGGGGGUAGAGCACUGUUUCGGCAAGGGGGUCAUCCCGACUUACCAACCCGAUGCAAACUGCGAAUACCGGAGAAUGUUAUCACGGGAGACACACGGCGGGUGCUAACGUCCGUCGUGAAGAGGGAAACAACCCAGACCGCCAGCUAAGGUCCCAAAGUCAUGGUUAAGUGGGAAACGAUGUGGGAAGGCCCAGACAGCCAGGAUGUUGGCUUAGAAGCAGCCAUCAUUUAAAGAAAGCGUAAUAGCUCACUGGUCGAGUCGGCCUGCGCGGAAGAUGUAACGGGGCUAAACCAUGCACCGAAGCUGCGGCAGCGACGCUGAUGCGUUGUUGGGUAGGGGAGCGUUCUGUAAGCCUGCGAAGGUGUGCUGUGAGGCAUGCUGGAGGUAUCAGAAGUGCGAAUGCUGACAUAAGUAACGAUAAAGCGGGUGAAAAGCCCGCUCGCCGGAAGACCAAGGGUUCCUGUCCAACGUUAAUCGGGGCAGGGUGAGUCGACCCCUAAGGCGAGGCCGAAAGGCGUAGUCGAUGGGAAACAGGUUAAUAUUCCUGUACUUGGUGUUACUGCGAAGGGGGGACGGAGAAGGCUAUGUUGGCCGGGCGACGGUUGUCCCGGUUUAAGCGUGUAGGCUGGUUUUCCAGGCAAAUCCGGAAAAUCAAGGCUGAGGCGUGAUGACGAGGCACUACGGUGCUGAAGCAACAAAUGCCCUGCUUCCAGGAAAAGCCUCUAAGCAUCAGGUAACAUCAAAUCGUACCCCAAACCGACACAGGUGGUCAGGUAGAGAAUACCAAGGCGCUUGAGAGAACUCGGGUGAAGGAACUAGGCAAAAUGGUGCCGUAACUUCGGGAGAAGGCACGCUGAUAUGUAGGUGAAGCGACUUGCUCGUGGAGCUGAAAUCAGUCGAAGAUACCAGCUGGCUGCAACUGUUUAUUAAAAACACAGCACUGUGCAAACACGAAAGUGGACGUAUACGGUGUGACGCCUGCCCGGUGCCGGAAGGUUAAUUGAUGGGGUUAGCGCAAGCGAAGCUCUUGAUCGAAGCCCCGGUAAACGGCGGCCGUAACUAUAACGGUCCUAAGGUAGCGAAAUUCCUUGUCGGGUAAGUUCCGACCUGCACGAAUGGCGUAAUGAUGGCCAGGCUGUCUCCACCCGAGACUCAGUGAAAUUGAACUCGCUGUGAAGAUGCAGUGUACCCGCGGCAAGACGGAAAGACCCCGUGAACCUUUACUAUAGCUUGACACUGAACAUUGAGCCUUGAUGUGUAGGAUAGGUGGGAGGCUUUGAAGUGUGGACGCCAGUCUGCAUGGAGCCGACCUUGAAAUACCACCCUU